GCCGCCUUAGCUCAGCUGUUAGAGCACUUGACUUGUAAUCAUGAGGUCUCCGGUUCGAUUCCGGGAGGCGGCU
rnacentral:tRNA from 1 species